rnacentral:rRNA from 1 species
UAGGGAAUCUUCGGCAAUGGGGGGAACCCUGACCGAGCAACGCCGCGUGAGUGAAGAAGGGUUUCGGAUCGUAAAGCUCUGUUGUUAAGGAAGAACGAGUGUGAGAAUGGAAAGUUCAUACUGUGACGGUACUUAACCAGAAAGGGACGGCUAACUACGUGCCAGCAGCCGCGGUAAUACGUAGGUCCCGAGCGUUGUCCGGAUGUAUUGGGCGUAAAGCGAGCGCAGGCGGUUAGAUAAGUCUGAAGUUAAAGGCAGUGGCUCAACCAUUGUAGGCUUUGUAAACUGUUUAACUUGGGUGCAGAAGGGGAGAGUGGAAUUCCAUGUGUAGCGGUGAAAUGCGUAGAUAUAUGGAGGCACACCAGUGGCGAAGGCGACUCUCUGGUCUGUAACUGACGCUGAGGCUCGAAAGCGUGGGUAGCAAACAGG